rnacentral:lncRNA from 1 species
GGACAACAGCUUUACAAGACUCUCAAAUGAGUGUAUUCCAGAGCUGGCUUUUAUACAUAGUUUGCUUACAUUAGCCAUGGUAUAUGCAAAUACAGUACAGACUAUAAGAUUUAUUACUUCCUUAUAUUACGUUAUUCUGACAAUGGAAAGAUAAGCUUUUGCAUACGUCUGGAAAAGAAUAUCCUGAAAUCGGAAUGGGCAAGACAUCCUGAAAUUUUAGCAUUGUCUUACAUCCUAUAGAAGAAAUACCUUAGUCUGUCACAGUCAGCAUAUUAUGUCGUAUAUUGAGUUUAAGUAUUCAAUAUUCCUUCAGUCAGCAAUAAUCAUGUUAUAAACCUUAUAAAAGCAUAAAAUACAUAUAAACAAGUUAACUAUUUAAUAUUCUUACAUUCCCCUCUUUGAGCAAUAAAACAAUUGCUCAUCUUAUCGAUAAAAUCUUACCAGGACAGAGAAACUUCCACAUGGUAUUUUCAGGGGUGCUAGUCACUCCCUGCGGGACUUUCAUUAAUUUCUUCACCUCGAUUCCCAUGUGGUAAUUCCUAAGGCCCAGUUUAAAGAUGGGUUGAUACCCUCCAGUGGCAGAGAGGAGAAUUUCUAAUUGUUUCUGUUCUGCAUUAUGGAUUCAUUUCUGUACUCUCUUCCUCAAUGUACAAGUAAGGUGACAGUUAUAUAAAACCAUACACAAUAAAAUCAGGACUAUAAUAACAAAAUGAUAUAAGAAUGAUUUCAUUAUCUGAGAUCCAGUAGGGGACCAACCAGUGAAGCAUCGUACCAAUGAUGGGCUAAAUCAUUCUGAAUUUGUGAACUCACCUUAAGGAGUUCUCCUUUUAGGAUAUGUGUGGCUACCUGUGUAUGUUAUCUUUGGGAAAAAUAUAGUCCCCUGUGUAUGUGGGUGCCCACCAGGUUAAAUUCUUGGCAAAAAGAUCAUAAACUGGUACUGGUAAUGUGUUAAAUUGACAAGCUAAUUUAACAUCCUUUGAUGAUGUAUGAUAUAAUGUAAAAUAGCAUGAGCAUGAAAAAUGUGAAACAUUACCAGUUAACCAUCCAUUGCAUUUACUGGAUUGGGGUUUUAGAAGUAACCAUUCAUUAUCUGUGAGGUUACGCUUUCCUCUAAUCUUCUCUAGUUUGGGAAUCAUUAGUGUGUUUUCUAAUGCCAAUCCUUGUUGUUGUAUCCAUAAAUACCUGAUGGCACAAGUACUCCAAUUACUUAGACCUGUUGUGAAUUUCAUAGUUGCAACAGUUAAAUUAUCUAAAUAAUUAUACAUUGAUUUAUCUAAAUCCAAUCCUGUAACCUGUGAUUUAACAACAGUUGGAGCCCAGUUUGCAGUAGCAUGAAAACCAGUCCCUAUAUGCAUACUGGCUGUGUUUAACUUAUUCUUGAGGGUCUCCAUGUCUAUACUAUUUAGUAUACCCAUAGUGGUUCCAGCACCUCCUAACAGUGUGUCAUACCAUUCCCUUUUCUGCCUUUUGUUUGUUGUGUUACAUAAUGUUACAACAAGAGUAGUGACUUUUAAUGACACAUGUACAGCUUGUAAGAAGGCAGUUGUAUUAACACAUGUGGACGGAAUAGGUGUGUGUGUGUCGUGGUUGACUUUUGGUUCUAUGAUAGUGGAUGAAGGACAGUAAUAAGGUGUAAAAAUAUAAGGUAGUGUAUAGUUCUCAAUUGCAGUGUCGUUCAUAAUGACUAACAUUUGUCCCCUUUUCCAAUUAAUGAUACCAGUUAUAUAAUCAUUAUUAAAAGUAAUAAGGCCUGUCUGUUUACAUUGAUAUGCAACCUUAACUGUGCACAUUUCUGCGUUAUAAGAUCUAACAAUUUUCUGUGAACCUUUAAACAAACAUAAUGCAUCGGUUUCAUUAGCUGUAGACACAUUUCAUAUGGGUAACUGGUACUUAUAAGGGUUACUAUUUGUCCAAUUCAUCCAAAUGCGUUCAGUGAAUGAAUGAUUGCAUAUUGCAUGCUGAUAGAAAGGUGGUGGAGAAAGGUUCUUGAGGUGGCGUGUGUGACGAAUGCUGGAUGAGGGGCUAAGGCCUAAUUGGGCUGGGGGUAUUGAAGAAUUGUUCAUCAUGUCAGAGUCUUUUUCCAGAACUUGCCAUUGACUUGUACUCAUAAUGGCAUUCAAGGAACAAUAUCAGAGGGAGUAUAACAACUCCAGAAAGCAUAGCGCACAACAUAAUCUUGGUCUCAGGUACGUAUGAUCCUCUCAAUCUACGAUAUGGUGUAAAAGCCAUGAUGCUUCGCUGAGGAGAAAUUCUUCUGUUUCCGAGCGAGGAGUGGUGUUGUCUUCCUUGGUUCCCCUCUUUGGACACAGCUUCACUCGGGAUGCGUGAAUCCAGAUGUCAUGGGAAUCUGUGAGGACAGCGGUUAUGGGUACAGCAAUCACAGUAGCAGGUGGUCCAAAAGGGUAUCCUCCUUUCUUGGUCCUGUUCAGCUGACGGAUAUACACCUUGUCACCGGGCUGGUAUGAAUGAGUAGGUUCCUGUGAAGGUAAGGGAAAACUGCGAAGAAACAUUGUCAUACAUACCAUUCAGUUUUAUCAACAACUCCUGUACAUAUUGUUCUUGUAUUAGCUGUAAAUCCCCAGACAUUAUAACAAGCAGUUCCCUGGCCCAGGGUGUGGGAAAAGGUCAUCCCAUCAAAAUCUCAAAUGGAGAUAAUUUAGUCACCUUGUGAGGAAUCACUCUUAUCUCAGCUAAAAUAGCUGGUAGAUAUCUAGUCCAAUUUACCCAUGUUCCUGGGUAAAUUCUGGGCUUUUCCUUAAUAGUCCUAUUCAUCCUUUCAACUACCCCUGUAUUCUGUGGAUGAUAGGGUAUAUGAAACUGCCAGGUAACUUGCAAGAAUUUAGCAAGUUCCUGGGCAACCCUACUGGCAAAAACCGGGCCAUUAUCAGAGCCAAUCUGCAGAGGGCAGCCAUACCUGGGAAUAAUUUCAG